UACGUAGGGGGCAAGCGUUGUCCGGAUUUACUGGGCGUAAAGGGCGCGUAGGCGGCGCAACAAGUCACUUGUGAAAUCUCCGGGCUUAACCCGGAGCGGCCAAGUGAUACUGUCGUGCUAGAGUGCGGAAGGGGCUACUGGAAUUCUCGGUGUAGCGGUGAAAUGCGUAGAUAUCGAGAGGAACACCUGCGGCGAAGGCGGGUAGCUGGGCCGACACUGACGCUGAGGAGCGAAAGCAUGGGGAGCGAACAGG
rnacentral:rRNA from 1 species